UUUAAGUCAUCUACAAGCCUAGAAAAAUGUUGAAAUUUUUUUUCUCUUCCCUGACUACAAAUUCCAAUUCUACCUUUCUCACUCCCUCACUCACCUCAAAUCUGCUCUUCACUUCUAGUUCCUUAUCUCCUCCUUAUUUUAGUAUAUGAAAUCUUACUGGCUUUACUUGUCUCUUGACUUAUGUUGGAUGCUAUAACUAUCUGUUUCAAUCCCACUUUACAUCCUGACCAGCACCAUGCAACUCCUCACCUCCCUGACUUUCUGCCAUAGCUGUGCUGCCAGUCCUAAAGACUAGACUUCCCUCUGUGUUACCGGGCUGAGUUAGUGGAUUUGACAUGGCUUCCUAGGGGCAUCCCUUUAGAAGGGAAUGAUUGUCUUGGUUGCCCUGGCCAAAGAAUUCAGUACCAAGGGACCAGACUACUUGUGAUAAAUUUCAGUACUCCAAAAUCUUUCAAGCAUGGGUUACUAAACUGGUAGAUCAUGAGAAUAAAAACAUAAAAAGCCAAAGUGGUGCCAGGGAGAGGGUUGCAACUGGUACCCUGAGAGAUUUGUGUAACCUUGGGAUGGUGGUCUGUCUCUGCAAACCUACACCUGCCAGUGUGAGAACAAUUGUAGCAGGUGGGAGAGGAGCCAAAGCAGAGAAGUAUCCCAUGGCCAGGGAGAGAUGAAAAUUGCUUUCUGAGGAGAGCCCCACCCAACAAUUAUCCACAGAGUUUCAGGUCUAGACAAUGGAAUCAUCUCCCACUGGACAAGGUGAAUAUCCAGUUCUCUUAAAUCAUUUAAGAUGAAUCUGGACAAAACACCAGAGAACAUCUAUCAUCACCGGGACUUACGACUGGACAAAGAUACAUCACGAAGGAAGACUGAGGAAAACAAGAAGUUGGAAAAAAAAGAGGGGGAGGAGGAGGACCUUAGGAAAGAGGCAUUCCCCUCCCCACCCCCUGCCCUGUAAAGAGGGAUAUAAUCAAAAGAGACAGAAUUACCACCAGCAGGAAGGCAGUAUGGUGUCGAGGAAAAAACUGGAGCUCUGGAGUCAAGAGAUGUGAAUCUGAGUCCCCCACUUCAUCCUUACUGAUUGUGUGACCCUGGGCAAAUAAGUCAUUUUUUGUCACUGAGCCUCCAUUUUUUUGUUUUUUGUUUGUUUUUUUUUGUUUUUUUUUUUUGUUUGUUUGUUUUUCUUUAUCUUCAAAAUGGAGGUAUGGCACCUGCCCUGUGAGCUUUGUUGGGAGAGUCAAGAAGACACUAUUGCUGAGUUUGGAAACAUCUUUGAAGUUGUCUUUCCAGGGCUGUUUGGAAAGACUUCUGGGAGGGAAGAUGAACCAUCUUUUUUGCUUGACUCAAUGAGAAGUGUAGCCCGCAUGGACUGGUGCAUCUGAUUUCUGAAUGUCCAUGAUGCCCUUGCACCCUUACUUUGCAAUCUUGCAAGUCCCGGUUGCAUAUGAUGGGGGAGGUGGCAUCAGGAGGUGAGGAGUAGUCUUUCUCCUGGCCCAGAACUAAUGCACCUUUGCUCCCCCACCUUUUGCCAGUUAUGUGGGGGAAUUAACUCAUUAUGGUACCAUUCAUUCAUGGUGGAUCAUUUCCUUCUGUUCCCUCUUCUAUUUGGAAGACGUUCAGACUUGGGGGAAGAAUCCGAGUCUAUUCCCCACCUUGAGCAGUUUGGGUGGGUGUUCCCUUGCAAAUUAUUUGUUCCUCAGUUGCCUUCCAAUACUGCUGUUACUUACUUGUGAACUUGUUCCUUACCCACCCCCUCCUUUGUAUAAAAGAACUCUGUGG